rnacentral:rRNA from 1 species
CGCGUAGGCGGCUUUAUCAGUCAGGCGUGAAAUUCCUGGGCUUAACCUGGGGGCUGCGCUUGAUACGGUAAGGCUAGAGGAUGGAAGAGGGUCGUGGAAUUCCCAGUGUAGAGGUGAAAUUCGUAGAUAUUGGGAAGAACACCGGUGGCGAAGGCGGCGACCUGGUCCAUUACUGACGCUGAGGCGCGACAGCGUGGGGAGCAAACAGGAUUAGAUACCCCCGUA